CUGAGUAGAUCACACGGAGAGGUCUGAAAGGCUGAAGUUUUUGGCGUUAAUCGGUUGCCAGGACUUCAUCUUUUUAGACUUUUCCGAGGUCAAAGCUUUUUG
rnacentral:pre_miRNA from 1 species